GGGGUUAGCUCAGCGGUAGAGCACUUGCCUAGCAUGUGUGAGGUCCUGUGUUUGAUUCCCAGCACUGCA
rnacentral:tRNA from 1 species